CCUACGGGAGGCAGCAGUAGGGAAUAUUGCGCAAUGGGGGAAACCCUGACGCAGCAACGCCGCGUGAGUGAGGAAGGUCUUCGGAUUGUAAAACUCUUUUAUUAGGGAAAAAUGCUGAUGGAGCUAAUACCCCAUUAGUUGAUGGUACCUAAGGAAUAAGCACCGGCUAACUUCGUGCCAGCAGCCGCGGUAAU
rnacentral:rRNA from 1 species